AAAUGGGGGAAUGAAGGAACCAG
rnacentral:piRNA from 1 species